GGGGGUAUAGCUCAACUGGGAGAGCGUCAGACUCGCAGCCUGAAGGUCGAGGGUUCGAUCCCCUCUAUCUCCA
rnacentral:tRNA from 1 species